AUAAUAAUUUGUCUUUUUAUUGAAGACUAGAAUGAAAGAUUUGACGAGAUAAAAACUGUCUUUUUUUAAUUUUUUUUUGAAUUUAAUUUUUAAGUUAAAAAGCUUAAAUUAUUUUAAAGGACGAGAAGCCCCUAUAGAGUUUUAUAAUUAUAUUUUUAAAAAAAAAUAUAAAUUUAAUUUUUUAAAUAAAUUAAUUAUUUUAUUGGGGUGAUAAAAAAAUUUAAAAAACUUUUUUAUUUUAAAAACAAUAAUUUUUGAAUUUUUGAUCUUAAAUUCUAGAUUAAUAGAAUAA
rnacentral:rRNA from 1 species